CGGACCCGAGAUGAGUUCUCCCUGACUCCUUGAGAGUCCUGAAGGAACGUUGAAGACGACGACGUUGAUAGGCCGGGUGUGUAAGCGCAGCGAUGCGUUGAGCUAACCGGUACUAAUGAACCGUGAGGCUUAACCUUACAACGCCGAAGCUGUU
rnacentral:rRNA from 1 species